GAUGAAGAACGUAGCGAAACGCGAUAAGUAAUGUGAAUUGCAGAAUCCAGUGAAUCAUCGAAUCUUUGAACGCACAUUGCGCCCGCCAGCAUUCUGGCGGGCAUGCCUGUUCGAGCGUCAUUUCAACCCUCGACCUCCCCUUGGGGAGGUCGGCGUUGGGGACCGGCAGCACACCGCCGGCCCGGAAAUGGAGUGGCGGCCCGUCCGCGGCGACCUCUGCGCAGUAAUACAGCUCGCACCGGGACCCCGACGCGGCCACGCCGUAAAACACCCAACUUCUGAACGUUGACCUCGAAUCAGGUAGGACUACCCGCUGAACUUAAGCAUAUCAAUAAGCGGAGGA
rnacentral:misc_RNA from 1 species